GACCCAGGCCCGCCCCCGACCCUCGGAGGGGAAGCGCAGGCUGCAGGAAGCCCCCGCUGCGGCGCUCCCCGCGUGGACCCACCCGCGCCUUUGCGCCCGGCCCCGGGCGCGGGGCGGGGAGGGGGGGGGCGACGGGGACGCAACAGCGCGAAGGCGGGCGCCGGAGCCCCGGGGGCUCACGGAGUUCCUUUUAGCCUCGGGAUGCGGAGUGGGGGCGAGGGGCGCCGUCGUCGGGCUGCUGCGAACUUCGUCCAUCACCGCCACCACCAGCACCCCGAGCUGGCCAGCCUGCAGGCGUCUCUUCGUUUUGCAGUGAACACCACCUGAAUCUGUAACCCCAAAGAGGAGUUCCCACGGGGGGGAACAAAAGAAGAAAAAGAAAGCGAACCCCGGUGGCGCUCCCAAAUCCAUCCUUCCCAGGGGUCGGCUCCACUGCCUUGGUCAUCGGCUCACAUCCACCCGGCGGCAGACAAGGCUCAACACUUCCUUGAGUUUCCGUGAAGCAAAGCUACAUGCCUUUACCUAAUCCGCCGCGCUCCUGAAAACAUUUCGAGUUUGCUGGUUUUGCUGCAAAUAAUCCAUGAACACAAAUGGCCUCACUUCGAGCACCAAGACGUUAGACACGAUGACACUGCGGAUGUUAAUAAGUCAGCUUGGAUUCUCAGUGGAAUAGCGGGACCUGAUGGUGCCUUUGGAAAGCAGUUUCAGUGAACCAAAGUGUGACAUCCUUCCUCCAUCCCCCGGUUCAUGGAGGUGGAGGCAGGUCCAGCUGGCAGGCCAGGUCUCCCAGGACGGACAUGGACUGGUUGGCGUGAGUCUCCAGGUUACUUCUUGAUUAAGAACGUCUAACCAUGAUCCUGGGCAGUCAUCAUCUAGUGUAUUGAGAGGUGACAAGUCUCAUCCAGCUGCACACAUCCUGAGCUCUCCGGGGAAAUGAAGCAAAGGGCAUUGCAGAAAGAAGGAAUGCAGAAUAUUCCAUUUCCUGUUGGCUCACUACCAGGAUUCUGCAUCCUGUUCCAUUUUCAUUAAGGGACAAUGCCGUAAUUGGGAGCUGAGACCCUGACUAAGGAUUUGAAGUCAAGUAAACCAUAAAUACGGCCACUGACCUAGCAGAAAUGUGAAGCCAUCACCUCUGUAAACGUUGGUGAUCCUUAACAUUUUAAAAUCGUGUCCAAAGUCGCAGAAGCCUGUCUUUUAUGAUUACAGAGGACCUUCACAGUUAUCUUGUCCAGCCCACAAUUUGGAAAUAAGGAUUUUCAAAUCGAAGACAGGCCCACCACCUAUUCACAGGGUGACUGUGGGGACCGAGUGAGGUGCCACAUGGAGGGCCCAGCCUGGAGUCUGAGCAGAGCAGAUGCUGAGGAAAUGUGAGCUCCUCUUCCUGCCUUUUGCCCUCCGAAUCUGCGUGUAACCGCACACCCCUGCACACACAGAGUUUACUUUACCAAAAAAGCAGGUGGACUCCAGUUUGCUACCACAUCAGAAUUCAGAACCUUCUGCAGCUGUCACCUGGGAGUCAUCACCAUGCCGAGAGGUGUGGUCCACCCGUGGCUACCCUUCCAGGCCUCGGCUCAGAGCCCAACUUAACCGACCUCUGAGCAGCCAGAAAAAUCACACUCGUGAGAGAUGCUCCUCACGUUGCCUGGCCGUCUAGAGACUCCUGCCCACCUACAGCUCAAUGCAAGGCCAGCACAGACGUUCCCAAGCUCCCUUCUGACCCACAGACAACCCUGCAGGGGACAUCAAGUCACAAGAGGGCAGCUGGAUUUUUAUUUCCAUUUAAAAAUGGAUGCGAUUUUCCCAACAUAAAUGCAAAGGGGAAACUGGGCGAGUGGGUAGAAAAAUAUUACAGAUACUUACUUCUAGAA